ACCCUACCAAACUAGCCUUAUUACACACUGAACAAACAAGUUGGUUCAUCAAAUAAACAGUACAGUCAAAAGCACACAGAAUUAAGUUCACCUCGAUGAUACGGAGGGUACAUGAAUUGAAGAUGCGGAAGAUCGAAAGCUUGCAACCGGGGCUCGGAAGAUGGAGAUUUGCAUGAUAGAGUUGAUGCCGCCGAGGAAAUCACCUCCUGCUAGCUGAAAUCAAAGGCAGAGACAAAAAAUCACAUACGGUGUAUAUUGCAUAAAGAAGAUGGUGAAGUAAACAGAAAGUGGAGAGCUGAAGAAGAUGAUGAAGGACUAAUGCGAGUGCUAGUUACUACCCAACACAUGCGUGAUGUAGAAAACAACUGGAUGCAAUUAGUACCUUGAGGACACAGGAUUUUGUUC
rnacentral:lncRNA from 1 species